AUUGAACGCUGGCGGCAGGCUUAACACAUGCAAGUCGAACGAGUGGCGGACGGGUGCGUAAUGCUUGGGAAUCUAGCUUAUGGAGGGGGAUAACUACGGGAAACUGUAGCUAAUACCGCGUACCAUAGGAUGAGCCCAAGUGGGCUUAGGUAGUUGGUGAGGUAAAGGCUCACCAAGCCGACGAUCUCUAGCUGGUCUGAGAGGAUGACCAGCAACACUGGUACUGGGACACGGCCCAGAGUCCUACGGUAGGCAGCAGUGGUGAAUAUUGCGCAAUGGGGUCAACCCUGACGCAGCCAUGCCGCGUCAAUGAAGAAGGCCUUCGGUUUGUAAAGUACUUUCAGCGGGGAGGCGUUACCCGCAGAAGAAGCACCGGCUAACUCCGUGCCAGCAGCCGCGGUAAUUC
rnacentral:rRNA from 1 species